GAUGAACGCUGGCGGCGUGCCUAACACAUGCAAGUCGAGCGAAUGGAUUAAGAGCUUGCUCUUAUGAAGUUAGCGGCGGACGGGUGAGUAACACGUGGGUAACCUGCCCAUAAGACUGGGAUAACUCCGGGAAACCGGGGCUAAUACCGGAUAACAUUUUGAACCGCAUGGUUCGAAAUUGAAAGGCGGCUUCGGCUGUCACUUAUGGAUGGACCCGCGUCGCAUUAGCUAGUUGGUGAGGUAACGGCUCACCAAGGCAACGAUGCGUAGCCGAGCUGAGAGGGUGAUCCGCCACACUGGGACUGAGACACGGCCCAGACUCCGACGGGAGGCAGCAGUAGGGAAUCUUCCGCAAUGGACGAAAGUCUGACGGAGCAACGCCGCGUGAGUGAUGAAGGCUUUCGGGUCGUAAAACUCUGUUGUUAGGGAAGAACAAGUGCUAGUUGAAUAAGCUGACACCUUGACGGUACCUAACCAGAAAGCCACGGCUAACUACGUGCCAGCCGCCGCGGUAA
rnacentral:rRNA from 1 species